AAGGCCGGCAGGCAGGAUUGGGCGUCGCGCUGAGCUUCGGCCGGUACGACGGAGCUCCACCGCAUUGGUGAGGAACCAGAGCCAGGAAAGUCGGCGAGAGUGUGUGGAGAGGCAGCGCUCCGCUAGGGAUUAGCGGCCGAGAGAGUUGACGUGCGAUAGAGGGAGGCAAGGAAACAUGGGUUCUCGUAGAUGGCUAAUUCACAUUGUUAUAUGAUUUUUAAUAUUGCGCGGUACAAAAUACAUGUUGAUCAACGAUUGUGUUAUAUUUGGAUUUAACUUGCGUAGAUUUGAAAAGCCCAUUUUAUUUAAUGUUGUAUCGUAGCAACGCACGAAGUUUGGUUGAAGUGUGCGGUAAUACAAAUCAAUGUAGCGGCGGCUUCGCAGAAACAUCUUCUUAGGAUUAUUAAUCAUGCUCGUCAUGAACAGAAAAAAAUUGUAACCACCUUUGUUAUAUAUACAUAUAUAUCUUAAAAGAAAAUAAGGGUGGUGCACAAAAUGAUUAGUAGUCCCGAAUAUUACAAGUCAGGUAUGAUUAUGUUUUUUUUAGAUAGGAAAUUAUUAUGUUGGUGGUGACAGGGUAGCAUUUCAUAAUUUGUUUCUUCCGGUGCAACGCACAGGCACUUUUGCUAGUACUGACCUACAUUAUAACCUAUAUAAAAGCUAAACCUCUUUGCUGAAACCUUAUGCUUUUAACUACUGUUGAUGGGGUCUUUUCUCCAUAUAGAGAUGGACACGUAACCUUUUUUCACUGUAGAUGACGAUCGGUAACUGUAGAUCCGUUUUGGGUGCCAUUUUUUACUUCCGUGCAAAAUCCGUAAUAACCGGAUCUGUACCGGUUGCCUUCCGGUUCCUCCUCGAUGUGCACACUAUUUUUUUUCUUCUCUACGUGCUGUUAAUUCUAGGUCUUCCGGUUUCUCUCCGGUUCACAACGUGGGACGGCCAAAGCGGUGAACGUCCCCACCAUCGAGAGCGAUCCAGGAGCUCCACGUCUCCACCGCUUUGAUUCGCACAGAAACUCACCUCCUCCCAAUCGCCGCCACCCACAUCCUCUCCCAGAUUCGGCUCCCUCCUCUCCCUUUUCAUCCCCCGUGUGGCCUUCUGCUUGGGUUCCUCCCUUCAUGCCCCUUUCCUAGAGCACCUUUGGCCAUGGCCUAACCAUGGCGGCGCCGGAGGACUGCACAUGCUCUGGUUCCACGCGUUGUGGACGAUUUGCCCGCUCUGCGUGCCCGCCUAGCCUCUCCACUCCAUGUGCUUCGGAUUCGAGUGCAGAAGAGGAUGUGCGUGUCGUCGCUGGUGGAGCUGCUGGAUUGGAGGCUGGAGGGGUGAUCGUGCCUCACCGCCUUGGUCCCCGCCUUUGCCGCUCAGCCGAGAUCCGGGUCCCCGUGCCGGAGUCGCCAGCGACCUUGAUUCUGUGCUGAUUUUUCAUAGCUCUGUACUGCGUCGGUGUUGCCUCAAGCACCGGAGAAAGAGGCAUGGCAUAGGUGCACAACCAACCGUACUACAGUCCUGCUGGUGUAGAUAGCUUGAACAUGUUUGAUCUAAUGUCCUACAGGCAGUAAGGUUGCUCUUUUCCUCUUUUUGCUUUUGUACCUAAAUUAAUAAUUUUCAGUUUGCCAUGCACGAGUGUAGGCUGCAGCUGGCGAUGGUGUGCUUGGUGCAACAAAGUGGUGUUAAUAUUACACAAAUUAGUUCAUUAUGUCAGUUGUUCUUCAGGUCUAUUUUCAAAAGGGGAUCCUGGGUCUUCUGUCCAGAAGGUGAGUUCUCAGAAUCCAUGGUCACUAUAGGUUUACAGUAUUUGUGUUAAAUGUGAUAUUCCUAUUUUUUUUUGCCGGGCACAAUGUUCCUAAAUUUAACUUUUGGGCAUAUGCUAUUUGCAGACUAAAUGUUACUCAAAAUGCAUGCUUUUGUUGUACCUUUUAUUCUUUUGUUCAGGUUUAUUUGAUGUCCCAAUGCUAUGUACUAUGUGCAGAUGCUCCUCUUUUGAUAAGUACAACACAUUCCCUACCUUAUUUGCGUCCCCUUCUACCCACACUAUUUUAGCUUCCAAUAUUGUCAGCAAGUAACUCUCACAAAUGCCCAUCCAACAAUGUUUCUAGCUUUUUAAAUCACACAUUGCUCAGAGCGUUGGUUUCCCAUUCAUACAAAUUACUUUCAGUACCAAUAUUGUUUGAAAAUGAUUACCACAAACAAGACGAUGUUUACAUCUUUGCUUCUUCUAAAAAUGUGGAUUAGUCUACCUCCAAGUACUAUCAGAAAAUGAUCAUCACACUUGCUGAUUUAACAGUGCUUCCAUCAGUCGGAACCAAAUGCUGUUUAGAACUUUAGAUACACUUUCAGAUAUCCAUGUAUUUAGAUGGCCAUUACUAAUUAAAAGAAUUCAGUUUUCUUUGUAUGCAUGUCUUCUGGCAAAUUUUGGUUGCUUUUUUGGUACAAGUAACCUUCAAUAGCAUUUCAGGGUCAUAUCUUUAGUUCGCGUUUAUUUCAGUACAUGCUAAUUUUGUCUUCUGCUCCACAUGUUGUUAAUUUUACUGCCACUUAAUAAUGCGUUUUAAAAAAUACUAAUAUUCCCUAAAAGUUAUUUGUAUAUUUGAUGUUCUCUGGUGUCUACAUUUGAAUCGCAUAAAAAUGGCCUUCCUUAUUUGACGCAAUUAUUUGUUUUCACCUCUUCGUUAUCCAGGAGGUAUAUGUUACUGCUGCUUCGAAUAUUUCCAUAUCUGUUUGAUGCUCUAGAAGGUUGAGGAGAUAUGGCCUUCAUGUGUGAUUGUUUGGGCUGGUUGUUUCUCGCCUAAUGUUUCUUUUUUUCGUGGGGAAAAUUCUUGAUGGAACAUUUUAUACUUCCUGCUUAUAGUGCUUGGAACCAGCAUCUAAUUGAUGCGAGCUAUAUCUGUGUGCACAUGAAUUUAAUUUUUUAGGAUUUGGUGUAUCAAUAUAAUCCUUUCGAUUAUGACCGACAGUUAUAUUUUUCCUCUUCCAGACACGUAUGUCAAUGAAUGAGGCCAUAGAGCACUUUCAGAGCAUCUUCAGGUUGAAGUUCUAUUCCUCUGUUGUGCACUUCCAUUUACCUCGAGAAGCAUUGCAAGCAGCAUUCUAUGAACAAGUUAUGUGGGUUGGAGGUCCUAUCUGUACGCAACAAGAGUUUUUUUGUUCUAUUCAUUGUUGCCAUAUGCAGUUGUAUGCUAGAAAUGCAUUCCAGCAUGAACCUGAGCAGUGACGUCAUAAGGCAAGUAAGCCUAUAUAAGUUGUAAUUCAGCACAUGAAUUCUGAGUAGGUAAUUAGGUGUAUUCUUCGAGGUGGAUUUAAAUCUUGGGAAGCUGCUCAUGAAAGCGAUUGCUCAGUGUAAAUUUUGUUUGCAGGUUUACCCAGAAAUAACUACACUGAUUAAUCGUAAGGCACACUUUUGAUCCUAGAACUGGAACUGUAUUUACACAAUAUGAUAUAACUCACCAGUUUGUUCAUAAUUGCCUCUAGAAGGACUAUUAGCUAAUCAGAAUUUUCGAUAUGUUCAUUGAAUUGCAUGUUGAAUUACCUAAUGUUCUUUUUUGUUUUGUACCUGUUGCUAGCCUUUCCAUGUGCCUCUCAAUAUUGGUGCCAGUGUGGGCAACCUUCUUGCACAUUUGAAGUUCAGUGUUGUCGAUGCCAAAUGGAUCAGACAUGACCUGCACACUUAAAGUUCUGAGUAGUUGAUGCCAAAUGGAUGGGACGAAGUAAUUACCCAGCAUCUGUCUUAGGAGUUGGAGCCCUAAAAAUCUAUUAACAGAAAUUAUAUGGAAAGAAGAAAAGGUUUGUGCAUUUAGGGGUAUGUGUUUCUCCUCUUCUCUUCCAUUCAGUUUGUUGACUAUAUGAAUGUGGUCCACAUGAUAAACACCUGAGAUAUGGAUGAUGUCCACAUGAAGUACUCCGAGAUUGAGAAGGUGUGAUUUAAAAGGUAUGGACGAGUCAAGGAGGCACGAUCCGCGAGUGAAGGAAAUCUUUAUGAGCGACACUCGGAAUUUCUUUGAACAUAUCAUAAAUUCAGAAUUCUCCAGGUUUUAGGGACUGUAAAUUCCCUAUGUUCAGAGGACAAUAGUAGGAAAAUGAUGUAGUUUGGUCACAAAAUAUGUCAUAAAGUGCAAGUUCCUGCAUAAUGUUAGCAAGAUGGUCUACGUGGUACAUGUGGCCCAUUCUGAGGGGUAUAUAUUGAAGAAGUUAGUGGGACUUAAUUGUAUUUCUCUCAUCGAUAUAGGCAUGACCGCUGCAGAUACAUUUGUCUGCAUGGUCAGAAAGGGCAGGCCUCAAUUUAACAAUUUUCCUGAGCUAAAGCCAAACUAGGGGACAUCUAAGGGGAAGAAAAAGAUGCACCUGAUGGAGAUGGUCACCUGGUAGCAGUAUGCCGGCAACGUUGGAAGCCCUCAUCAUCGACGUCUCCUGCCUAGAAUGUCACCUUGACACCGGUGUCGCCAGCGAACCAGUGCUGCCAUCGUCAUCACGCUAUGUGGAUCCAUGGAGGGAGUUGCUGCAGCCUGCAGGCAUAUCACGCAGCAGGGUGAGAGACCACACUCUUGCAUGAAGGCCGAAGCUGGCUCGACGCUGACUCCACACCGGUGCUCUGCUAGCAACGUGAACCACCUCAACCAGCAGUAAAAGAACUAACACAUACCAGCGUUGAGACCAUCAUAUGGGGAGUCACCACCAGUGAAAAGCGGCAACGCCAUCACUCUUGGACGGUACGGCUUUCGAUUCACCAGGUGCAGAGCAGGAGCACAUACACAGUGCAACGGUGGUGAUCGUUGAUUUGGUUGGGUUAGAGGGCGAGAAAGCACUCGGCAACAUCGAUUUCUAGAGGAGAUGGUGAAGAAUCGGCAAGAUGCUGACCAUUGAGGGAGUGAAGAAAAGGGGGAUCGAAGAAAGAAGAUGGGCGUCAAAGGCAUGGAUGAGGGAGAGAUAAGCAUCAGCGUGUGCAGGUGCACGUGUGAUCAGUUAUCUGACAUGGACCCAACAAUGUAUUUGUUUAAUACAUACAAUGCCACAAGUCUUAGAUGUGUGCAUCCUUAUGCGAAGAAAAACAAUAGUCCAUGUACUACGGGACAAGAAUUGACUGAAAACGUAGCCACACAUUUAUCUUACCUAUUUGCUAUAUUUGUUAAUUGUUGCUAGGAAUAUUGUAAGGUUUAUUGCCACCAGUAGCCUCCUCACACAUGCAUACUUUAUUCUUAUUUUUGUAA